CUCUCUAUUUACUGUUUAUAUUCUUUAAAAAGGAACAUUGACUUAAUUCGGGAUGUGAGUCACUUUCUCUCCUUGGCAGCCAUUAAAUCCGCUCUGAUUGCAUCUGUUGGACUCUGACGUUUUUUCCACGCUGAACUAAUGAUAGAGAAAAUCCAUUUCUCACUUGGUUUGUGUCCCCCAUCGCGCAGGAAAAGACAUUAAGCCGCGAUCAUUAACAAAAUGAUCAAUUUGCCACAUUCCUGAGUAGCUCUUGCAGAACCAGAAUUGAAAUGGGCUACGUUCUGCUUUGUUUGGUUGAUUAUUUGUCACGCUUCAGACUGACUGAGACACUCACUGCAGAGUGGCGGGCAGGCUUACAAUCGCUUUGCUGGCCAGCUGUUUGGACCACUUCUUACAUAACUAUAUUAAGCCAUGGUCCACUGCCCUGUCUCAGCGAACUGGCUAUAAAUACAACAAAGUGGGCACGUCCCCCUGUCAUUGGCUGUGCUGCUUCACUAACCCAUGUUGUUACGCCAACAUGCUUGACGAAGCAUUGCGCUAAGCUCAUUUGUGUGUCACAUGUUACAUAAAAAGUCCUCUAAGUGCUCUCCUUGUUUCCGUGAACAGGUUCAAACAGUUCCUGUUAUUCUAUUGGAUCUAUAAGGGGUACCGCCGAUAUUUACAGGAUAGGUUUGUGAUAAAAACUCACUUUAUUCAAGUAACUGGAAGUUCUUUUUUUAACUAGCAUGAAGAUGUGCUGGAGAGAAUAUUAUCUAUCCAGCAUCUUCAUGGAAUCCACAAUCUAAAAAUGACUUAUUUCAGUUCAUAUUUGGAAGUAGCAGUUACUUUACAUGGAUUUUUGAAU